CCUACGGGGCGCACCAGGCGCGCAAACUUUACAAUGCGAGCAAUCGUGAUAAGGAAACCCUGAGUGCCCGUCGAUGCAGGCUGUUCAUAUAUCUAAAUCAUAUGUGAAGAAAGGGCAGGGCAAGACCGGUGCCAGCCGCCGCGGUAAA
rnacentral:rRNA from 1 species